AUUGAACGCUGGCGGCAGGCCUAACACAUGCAAGUCGAGCGAGCGGCGGACGGGUGAGUAAUGUCUGGGAAACUGCCCGCGGGAGGGGGAUAACUACUGGAAACGGUAGCUAAAAUCCCACAUCCUCAGAUGUGCCCCGAUGGGAUUAGCUAGUAGGUGGGGUAACGGCUCACCCAGGCGACGAUCCCUAGCGGGUCUGAGAGGAUGACCAGCCACACUGGAACUGAGACACGGUCCAGACUCCGACGGGAGGCAGCAGUGGGGAAUAUUGCACAAUGGGCGCAAGCCUGAUGCAGCCAUGCCGCGUGUGUGAAGAAGGCCUUCGGGUUGUAAAGCACUUUCAGCGGGGAGGCGUUACCCGCAGAAGAAGCACCGGCUAACUCCGUGCCAGCAGCCGCGGUAAUUC
rnacentral:rRNA from 1 species